rnacentral:rRNA from 2 species
UUUGCAGGCAGUAGGGAAUCUUCCACAAUGGACGAAAGUCUGAUGGAGCAACGCCGCGUGAGUGAUGAAGGUUUUCGGAUCGUAAAACUCUGUUGUUAAAGAAGAACAAGUGUUAGAGUAACUGUUAACACUUUGACGGUAUUUAACCAGAAAGCCACGGCUAACUACGUGCCAGCAGCCGCGGUAAUACGUAGGUGGCAAGCGUUGUCCGGAUUUAUUGGGCGUAAAGCGAGCGCAGGCGGUUUUGUAAGUCUGCUGUGAAAGCCCUCAGCUCAACUGAGGAAGUGCAGUGGAAACUACAAAACUUGAGUACAGAAGAGGAAAGUGGAACUCCAUGUGUAGCGGUGAAAUGCGUAGAUAUAUGGAAGAACACCAGUGGCGAAGGCGGCUUUCUGGUCUGUUACUGACGCUGAGGCUCGAAAGCAUGGGUAGCGAACAGGAUUAGAUACCCUGGUAGUCCAUGCCGUAAACGAUGAAUACUAGGUGUUGGAGGGUUUCCGCCCUUCAGUGCCGCAGCUAACGCAUUAAGUAUUCCGCCUGGGGAGUACGACCGCAAGGUUGAAACUCAAAGGAAUUGACGGGGGCCCGCACAAGUGGUGGAGCAUGUGGUUUAAUUCGAUGCUACGCGAAGAACCUUACCAGCUCUUGACAUCUUCUGCCAACCCAAGAGAUUGGGCGUUCCCUUCGGGGACAGAAUGACAGGUGGUGCAUGGUGUCGUCAGCCUUCCUUCGG